CUUAAUCCACACCUCUUCUUCAGGAAUUGCCCCAUCGUGAGUUGUGAGAAAUCCAUUCCUGUGGAAAGAUGAUGGAACAUGAACAUAUGGUCUGUGACUCUGCUAUGGACCUGGUGAAUCACUGUUGACUGUCCAUGGUUCAAGUGAGGAUUGGCAAACCUGGUCAUUUCUUGAUUACCUACAGAAUGCAAUUGCAACAUAUGCAAAAUCUUAUGCAGGAAUGGGGCUAUAGCAGUGAUGGGACACUACCUUUGACUGUGAAGAUCAGACGAUGCAAUUCCCGUUGGUCAGCCCCCCACCCCAAGGAGCCAUGCACUGCCAGAGAUCUUGAGCCAGGUCUUCAGUGGUUAUCCAUUGAUAACAAGAACGGAGAUAAUAAAGACAGUGAGGUAUCUUGUUGAUUU